UACAAUCAGUCUCAAAGAUAAACAACAAAAAGCUAUGCUUGUAUUAAACAUUCUAUAAGGCUGAUUGAUUGAGAGUACGAAUGCUACAGGUUGGGAGCCAAAAUUAUCUUAGACUAGCUUAGUUUAGUCCCCUAAGUAGCCAUUUAUUGCCCACCUAUGUAUGUGACCUAACUUCUUUGUGACUAUUAGGUAAAUAUUUUUUUUUCUUUUCUGCAGCUGAGACCGAACCCAGGGCCUUGCGCUUGCUAGGCAAGUGCUCUACCACCGAGCUAAAUCCCCAACCCUGGUGGACUCCACGCUGCAGCACUUCUUUUCAUCCUCGACUCUCCUGUGGACCUCAGUAGCAGCGCCCUCCGGAUUCUGUUGCUACAGCAUCUUCAACUUGCAUUUGUGCUGUAACCACAUAUAUGCAUAUAUGAGAAAUAUUUUCUCUUUGCAGUGUGUUAUGAGACUUAAUGUUUAUUACUUGUUCUUUUAAAACUAUUUUUAUUUCUUAAAUUUGUGUGUGUUGUGUGAAUAUGUGCAUGUGAGUGUAGAUGUCUGUGAUGACCAAAGGAGUUGGAUCUCCUGCAGCUAGAAAUGCUGGUGGUUGUGAGAUGUCGAUGGCAGGAAUUGAACUCUGGUCUUCUGGAAGAACAAUACAUGCUCUUAACUGCUGAGCCGUCUCUGCAGCCCCUUACUUAUGUAUCAUUUAGUUAGUAAUUAAGAUUAGAAUAACCUGUCUCUGCAAGAUUACCAAGGUAAGCAGGAUUAUCUGGCAAAUCACUGUCAUUGAAACUGCUGACCUUAGUGAAUUUACUGUUAUUUACUAAAUUCUGAUAUCAUAGAAACUCUGUCCUAUGGUGAUUUUUUAUUUGUGCUGAAAUGUGAUUUUAUUUGUAUGUUAAUAAAUAAAGUUUCCUGGGGGUCAGAGCUAAUAGCAAGCCAUUUAGCAGAAGUCUGGCAGUGGUAACACAUGCCCUUAAUCCGAUCACAUGGCAGGCAGAGUCUGUGUGUUCAAGGACAUAGCCAGCUUGGUGACACACGCCUUUAAUCCAAGUACCGACCAUAGAGACCUGGAGGUCUGUAUAGAUAGGCAGUGACGAAGAAGUCAUGUGGUUGGGUUUAGAACCAAUGAGAAGGCAGAACAGAAAGUCAAUAAAAAAUACAGACACACAGGAAGUAGGUCUCUUUUCUCAGGGGAAGAACGGAAGCGACUGGUAAGCUAAAGGCUAUUCACUAAUGCUCUGACCUCUUGGGCUUUUAACUAUU